rfam:Ovis aries breed Texel chromosome 18, whole genome shotgun sequence.
UCCCUGAUAGUCCAGUGGUUAAGGCCUGUGCUCUCAAUGCAGGGGGUCCAGGUUCAAUUCCUGGUCAGGGAA